GAGGAAUAUUGGUCAAUGGGCGAGAGCCUGAACCAGCCAAGUCGCGUGAAGGAAGAAGGAUCUAUGGUUCGUAAACUUCUUUUUUAGGGGAAUAAAGUGCGGUACGUGUACCGUUUUGUAUGUACCCUACGAAUAAGGAUCGGCUAACUCCGUGCCAGCAGCCGCGGUAAUACGGAGGAUCCAAGCGUUAUCCGGAUUUAUUGGGUUUAAAGGGUGCGUAGGCGGGUCCAUAAGUCAGUGGUGAAAGUUUGCAGCUCAACUGUAAAAUUGCCAUUGAAACUGUGGGUCUUGAGUGUAAAUGAGGUAGGCGGAAUGUGUUGUGUAGCGGUGAAAUGCUUAGAUAUGACACAGGACACCGAUUGCGAAGGCAGCUUACUAAGAUACAACUGACGCUGAGGCACGAAAGCGUGGGGAUCGAAC
rnacentral:rRNA from 1 species